UACGUAGGGUGCAAGCGUUGUCCGGAAUUAUUGGGCGUAAAGGGCUCGUAGGCGGUUUGUCGCGUCGGGAGUGAAAACUCAGGGCUUAACCCUGAGCCUGCUUCCGAUACGGGCAGACUAGAGGUAUGCAGGGGAGAAUGGAAUUCCUGGUGUAGCAGUGAAAUGCGUAGAUAUCAGGAGGAACACCGGUGGCGAAGGCGGAUCUCUGGGCCGUAACUGACGCUGAGGAGCGAAGGCAUGGGGAGCGAACAGG
rnacentral:rRNA from 1 species